UGAGUUUAGAGUAGUGCAGUGGCUUGUGACGUUCUAGCAGCUGUGCCUGACGCGUCACACGUCGCGCUCUAUCGAAGGCUGCUUUGUUCGUGUCUCCUGUGGUUGUUGCCCCAGCAUGGCCACCAGCUAGGAACCCGGAGCUCUGAGGGUCGGUCGGUCCCUCGUGAACAGGAUCAACAAAGUCUUCACCAAGAGGGGCGGAAGAACAAGCGACUGGCUCCUGGUUGCGGAGAGGCGAGGGGCUGUUUCAGAAGUCAGGAUGAGGACCAUCGCAGCCUCCGGGUCAGAGGACACUAGGCAUCUGCUCAGAGAAACUUUCAACUUGAAACACCAGGAGUUUUAUAACUUUUUACAGCGUUAAGUAAAACAUAGUUAAAACAAAACAAAUUUUCUCAAUUGGCAAUUAUAUCCAUCCUUAUUUUGACGGGUCGACUGGGUUAUCAGGUGGUUAGUUACAAUGUAGACGCUUACGUCAGUUGUCUAGAAGGUGCUGGUAAUAAAGACAAUGUCGCGUCUUCGAUCCCUGUACCGGACAGAUUUUGUUUCCUUUCAGAACAAAAUCCUCAAUUUAUAUCUACUUGAAGCGCACUUUUCAUCUACUGGACUCUAUUUAAGGGAUACCACCUUAAAAUAGAACGCAGCUUGAACUGCUCACUUCCACAACGAGAGGACAACUUGCAGCCUGAGCAAGUGUCUUGUCUAUUGUGCAAGAAACAUGGGUCCAUCAACAUUUACAUUCUUUUCCUUAUUCAGUCUUAGAACAGUGUGAAGCUCAUAGUUCUUUUCUGAAAAGUUUAAAAAUUAAACGAGCUAACAAAACAAAA